UCCGAGUUGUCCCCGGCAGUUUCUUUAGAGUGCCCAACUAAAUGGUAGCAACUAAAGACGAGGGUUGCGCUCGUUGCGGGACUUAACCAAACAUCUCACGACACGAGCUGACGACGGCCAUGCAUCACCUGUCACCUUGUUCAAUAAAGCACUCACUUCUUUCGAAGUAAUUCAAGGGAUGUCAAGCCCUGGUAAGGUUCUUCGUUUAGCAUCGAAUUAAAGAACACGAUCCACCGCUUGUGCGGGUCCCCGUCAAUUCCUUUAUGUUUUAGUCUUGCGACCGUACUCCACAGGCGGGAUACUUAACGCGUUAGCUUCGCUACUGAAGGGGUCGAUACCUCCAACAGCUAGUAUCCAUCGUUUACAGCGUGGACUAC
rnacentral:misc_RNA from 1 species